AUAGUAAAUCUACUGAAGUAUCUACUAUAGUAAAUCUACUGAACUGUGGAAUGACCUCAAGUGAGCAAUGGAGCCUCACACUGUGAAGAAAUGAAAUAUCUGCCAAAGCCUCAGGAAAGCAAUGUCUGAGGAGGCAGCAUGGCCUGGCUGUGGCAGUGCAGGGAUAGUGGGUAUUGGCAAUGUACAUCAUAUAUCCACUGAACCUACACCUGUCCUGUAUUAAAGCCUGUGUGUAUUUAUUUCUCAGGUAGGUAUGACCUGCACAGCUUUAAAUCCUGCCUCCAUUUAAACCAGUGGGAAUCUCACAGGCUAAUUGAACAGGAAGCCAUCAGAGCACACCAGUGACUCUGGCUGUCCCACCCUCAGCACAUGAUGCCUUAAAAAUUCUUCAGACUUACGGAGUUUGUUCAGUUUCUGUCAGAUAACAAGGAAGCAUCUCCCAAUCUGUAGCUGUCUGGGAAAUCCCUUUUCUAGAGGAAAGGGAAGUUGAGGAGGGAAGAGGAGCGGUGAGCCGAGUGCUGGCUGAACCCGACCUAGAGCUGUGCCAACAAAUCCAUGUGCUGUGUUUGACUGCCCUGGGCCUGGGGAGCAGGACCCUUGUAGGUAAGAGGAUUGCUUCAGAGAUCCGUGGUGACAACACCAAUUUUCCUUUGUAGCUCGGAAUACGCGGAGCCCCUGGAUUUUGUCCAGCCACUUCGACUGAGGCACUUGGUCCCCUGUCUCUGGCUCCCUGGCACCAGCCAUGAGGCAGUGCUGACAGGCUGUUUUCAAAAAGUCUCGUGGUUUGGGUCUGUUCAGGAAAAAAGUGCCUCUUGCCACUCACCAGAUAUGCUGGAGGGCUCAGAACAUAGACAUGGAAAAGCAGUGGCCAUAGCUACUGUCCUGGCUCCUCACAGAUGUUAGCUUUUCCAUUCUUCGGGUUAUUGCUGCUUCAUCUUCCAGAAUGAGCUUCAAACACCAUAAUACAAAUGCCCGGUCUGUUGUGCUCGUGGAUGUGUCUAUGGAUCACUUCAAGGACAAAAUACAACACUUUUCCCUGGUGGAGGUUCCAGUCCCAGCCAAGAGAGCACAGCUACGCUGGUGUCACAGACCUCCUGCAAACACACCACCACCCUGGGUACUGCCUGGAGAUCCAGUGCAGAGAAACUGUGCCUGUAAGGACAGUUUUUAACUUGAGUUGGCACCCUCAACACCUGCACCGCCAGGCUGAGCUGCUGAGUCACUUACAGAUUGGUAAGAGUUCAUCUGACUGAAAUAUCCCUGAGGCAGCUGACAAGAAACUGCUGAACUGGCUGAAUACAAAACCAGCUGCCUGCGUUCACUGUGGGGUGACGCUGUGCUCCAGCUCUCUGCAGCAGCGAGGCACAGCAGUCCCAGGGCAGGCGGGAGACUCUGGAGUGCCGCCAGGCUCACGGAGACCAGCGUUGCUCCGAGGAUUAUCGUCAGGCCCCUCAUCAGAUGGGGACUUGUUGACAAUUCCCUGAAUUUCCAUUUGGAAGAAAGAGCUUCACGUUUGACCAUUUAUUUCCAGCGCCAUGUCUGCCUGCCUUGCCUGCAGGCUUCAGGUUCUCUGCUGUGGUGCUGUUGUUUGUGGCAGUCCCGGUGUGGCACAGGCAGGAUGAAGGAGGUGUGCAGGGGAAUAUCCACUGGAGCCACAACGGCAGGGCCUUGAAAAUUCCAUAUGAGGAUCCCAGAGUAGAGUAAGAAAAACACCAUCAGGAGAUUGGAACCUGAACAGCUCACGUGCAACAUGUGCUGGCCGUGUGUCCUCCUCUGCCUUGUUUAGUUUUUCCUUUGGCCCGAAAAGCCAUGGGAAGAACCUGCCACCUCCACCAGUUGUGCCAGAAAACUUCUUUCCUGAACAAGUCGCGUGUGAUUGAUCUCUGAAGCAACUGCUGGGUUACAAUCCCACAAAUGACAUGGAAUUGCUGCCUGCUCGUGUUCUCCGGUAGUGAUUUUUACCAAGAUUCUGUACCUGGCAACAGUACCUGAGCCCAUCUCUGAGUGAAUCCAGCCCAGCUCUGACCAUCUCUAACAAACACUAAGCACACAGGAAGAUUACUGAGAUGUUCAGGAUUUCUCUUCACAAAGCAGAUGAUGCAGGUGCUCUGAAAGAUUCGGUGAAAUGACAGUGUAAUGAUCAAGAUCUGAUCGUGUUAUUCCACCGGUUUGUGAACUUUAAGAUUAUUUUAAGCUGUGCCAUAGGGUGGAUGGAAGAUCUGCAGCAACGUAACUUUGUAACACGAAAAGGCAAGUGCUUUACACACAGAUGUGUCCCCAUAAAUCCAUGAGCUUCAUGCCAAGAACAUGGACAAAUAUUUCUACCACCCUGGCUGGCCACCUAGAAGUACAAAAAGCGAGCAAGCAGCUUAUACAACUGCAAAAUCUACUUAAAAGAAGGCAUUUAACAUGUUCCUUCCUCUCUGGGAAAAGGGAGAAACACUGACCAGGAAAACAGGGCUGAUAGUAAAUGUUUUGUUGGGUUUUUUUUUAAAUGAUUAAAUAUCCUACAUUCCCAUAAUCACUGCAUUGUUUUAUAAUCUCACAGAAACAUUCAGAAUUUGUGACUAAGAGUAAAGGGUAAAAAAUUAUUAAACCUGUUACAUUCCAGUAAAAACUGCAAUUUUUUAUGAUCUCACAGAUACCAUCCAGAAAUCAUGACUGAUAGUAAGUGAUAAAAGAUGAUUAAAUCUGUUCCAUUCCCACAAUCACUGCAUUUUUUUAUAACCUCACAGAAACAUUCAGAAAUCAUCACUGAUAGUAAAUGGUAAAUUAUUAAAUCUGUUACAUUCCCAUAAAAACUUCUUUUUUUUUUAAUAUUUUCACAGAUCACAUUCAGAAAUCAUGACUGAUAAGAAAUGGGUUUUUUUUAAAAAAAAAACGUUUAAAUCU